UACGGAGGGGCUAGCGUUGUUCGGAAUUACUGGGCGUAAAGCGCACGUAGGCGGCUUUGUAAGUUAGAGGUGAAAGCCCGGGGCUCAACUCCGGAAUUGCCUUUAAGACUGCAUCGCUAGAAUUGUGGAGAGGUAAGUGGAAUUCCGAGUGUAGAGGUGAAAUUCGUAGAUAUUCGGAAGAACACCAGUGGCGAAGGCGACUUACUGGACACAGUAAUUGAACGCUGAGGUGCGAAAGCGUGGGGAGCAAACAGG
rnacentral:rRNA from 1 species